rnacentral:rRNA from 1 species
UACGGAGGGUGCGAGCGUUGUUCGGAAUCACUGGGCGUAAAGGGCGUGUAGGCGGUCCGCUAAGUCUGAUGUGAAAGCCCGGGGCUCACCCCCGGAAGGGCAUUGGAAACUGACGGACUCGAGUCCCGAAGAGGAGGGUGGAAUUCCUGGUGUAGCGGUGAAAUGCGUAGAUAUCAGGAGGAACACCGGUGGCGAAGGCGGGUCUCUGGGACGUUACUGACGCUGAGACGCGAAAGCGUGGGGAGCAAACAGG